rnacentral:rRNA from 1 species
UACGUAGGCAGCAAGCGUUGUUCGGAAUUACUGGGCGUAAAGAGUGUGUAGGCGGUGCCCUAAGUUUGGUGUGAAAUCUCCCGGCUCAACUGGGAGGGUGCAUCGAAAACUGGGGUGCUCGAGGGUGGGAGAGGUAAGCGGAAUUCCUGGUGUAGCGGUGAAAUGCGUAGAUAUCAGGAGGAACACCUGUGGUGUAGACAGCUUACUGGACCACUUCUGACGCUGAGACACGAAAGCGUGGGGAGCGAACAGG